rnacentral:rRNA from 1 species
AUGGUUGAAACAGAGAAACAUUUGGUCUUUCCAUUGGUUUACAGGCUCAUUGAGUUAGCUUUGCUACUGCCGGUGUCCACGGCAUCUGUUGAGAGAGCUUUCUUGGCAAUGAAAAUUAUCAAGUCUAAACAGCACAGCACGAUCAAUGAUGAUUGGUUUAAUCACUUGAUGAUAUGCUACACUGAACAUGAAAUAUUUAAAUCACUCGAUGAUGAAGUUAUCACUCGAAGGUUUCAGGCCAUGAAGGCUCGAAAAGGGAUUUUACCGAGGCAUCAUUAG